rnacentral:rRNA from 1 species
GGCCUGAAGAAUGCAUUUUAGGUUUAACCUGCCCAAUGAAAGAAGUGAAUGGCCGCGGUACUCUGACCGUGCUAAGGUAGCGUAAUCAGUUGGCUUUUAAAUGGAGUCAGGAAUGAAUGGGAUAACCUGGUUCAGCUGUCUUUAGACUACUUUAUUGAAGUUACCUUUUAGGUGAAAAGGCCUGAGAUAGGAAAAGGGACGAGAAGACCCUUAGAAUUUUGUUAAUUAAAAACUUAUGUUUUGUAAUAAUUUUGUUGGGGCGACAAGUAGACAUAUUUGAACUCUAAGUUUUAGACAUGCCGAUUGUAAUAAGAGAGAAUAAAUUACCUGAGGGAUAACAGCAUAAUUCUAAAAUGGAGUUUGUGACCUCGAUGUUGGACUAGGAAACUAACAAGCUAGCCGUUUGUUGUGUGGGUUCUGUUCGAACUUUAAAUCCU